GCCAGGCACAGUGGCACGUGCCUGUAGUCCCAGCUACUCAGGAGGCUGAGGUGGGAGGAUCGCUUGAACCCAGGAGUUCUGGGCUCCUGUGCAUUAUGCUGAUCAGGUGUCUGCACUAAGUUCAUCAUCAAUAUGGUUAUCUCCCAGGAGCAGGGGACCACUAGGUUGCCUAAGGAGGGGUGAACUUGCCCAGGUCAGAAACGGAGCAGGUCAAAACUCCUGUGCUGAUCAGUAGUGGGAUCGCACCUGUGAAUAGCCACUGCACUCCAGCCUGGGCAACAUAGCAAGACCCCGUCUCAA
ensembl:misc_RNA Metazoa_SRP Metazoan signal recognition particle RNA